UAACUACGUGCCAGCAGCCGCGGUAAUACGUAGGUGGCAAGCGUUAUCCGGAAUUAUUGGGCGUAAAGCGCGCGUAGGCGGUUUUUUAAGUCUGAUGUGAAAGCCCACGGCUCAACCGUGGAGGGUCAUUGGAAACUGGAAAACUUGAGUGCAGAAGAGGAAAGUGGAAUUCCAUGUGUAGCGGUGAAAUGCGCAGAGAUAUGGAGGAACACCAGUGGCGAAGGCGACUUUCUGGUCUGUAACUGACGCUGAUGUGCGAAAGCGUGGGGAUCAAACAGGAUUAGAUACCCUGGUAGUCCACGCCGUAAACGAUGAGUGCUAAGUGUUAGGGGGUUUCCGCCCCUUAGUGCUGCAGCUAACGCAUUAAGCACUCCGCCU
rnacentral:rRNA from 1 species